GAUGAACGCUGGCGGCGUGCCUAAUACAUGCAAGUCGAGCGAACAGACGAGGAGCUUGCUCCUCUGACGUUAGCGGCGGACGGGUGAGUAACACGUGGAUAACCUACCUAUAAGACUGGGAUAACUUCGGGAAACCGGAGCUAAUACCGGAUAAUAUAUUGAACCGCAUGGUUCAAUAGUGAAAGACGGUUUUGCUGUCACGUAUAGAUGGAUCCGCGCCGCAUUAGCUAGUUGGUAAGGUAACGGCUUACCAAGGCAACGAUGCGUAGCCGACCUGAGAGGGUGAUAGGCCACACUGGAACUGAGACCCGGUCCAGGCUCCUACGGGAGGCAGCAGUAGGGAAUCUUCCGCAAUGGGCGAAAGCCUGACGGAGCAACGCCGCGUGAGUGAUGAAGGUCUUCGGAUCGUAAAACUCUGUUAUUAGGGAAGAACAAAUGUGUAAGUAACUAUGCACGUCUUGACGGUACCUAAUCAGAAAGCCACGGCUAACUACGUG
rnacentral:rRNA from 1 species